rnacentral:rRNA from 1 species
CCUACGGGAGGCAGCAGUGGGGAAUAUUGGACAAUGGGGGAAACCCUGAUCCAGCAAUGCCGCGUGAGUGAUGAAGGCCUUAGGGUCGUAAAGCUCUUUUACCAGGGAUGAUAAUGACAGUACCUGGAGAAUAAGCUCCGGCUAACUCCGUGCCAGCAGCCGCGGUAAUACGGAGGGAGCUAGCGUUGUUCGGAAUUACUGGGCGUAAAGCGUGCGUAGGCGGUUAUUCAAGUCAGAGGUGAAAGCCCGGGGCUCAACCCCGGAACGGCCUUUGAAACUAGAUAACUAGAAUCUUGGAGAGGUCAGUGGAAUUCCGAAUGUAGAGGUGAAAUUCGUAGAUAUUCGGAAGAACACCAGUGGCGAAGGCGACUGACUGGACAAGUAUUGACGCUGAGGUACGAAAGCGUGGGGAGCAAACAGGAUUAGAUACCCUGGUAGUCCACGCCGUAAACGAUGAUAACUAGCUGUCCGGACACUUGGUGUUUGGGUGGCGCAGCUAACGCAUUAAGUUAUCCGCCUGGGGAGUACGGUCGCAAGNUUAAAACUCAAGGAAUUGACGG